AAAUUUACAAAUUUUGGCUGUUUUUUUGUAAAUACACACUGAUAUGCACACAGCUGUCACAAUACAACCUAACAAAAUUGUUUCAAAUGAAGUUAAAGACAUUUAAGCACUACUAUAGUCAUCAUAUGGAAAAAAACAAAAGAACUUUUUGGCCAA